rnacentral:rRNA from 1 species
AUGAGUAUCAUCUGCUGGAACUGUCGAGGCCUGGGGUCGCACUCGACAGUUGGCAAGCUUCGCUGGCUUGGGAAGCUCUACCGACCCUCCCUCCUCUUUCUUUCAGAGACAAAGAUGAGGGAUUCAAGAGUUAAGAAUUUCAUGUGGUCUUUGGGUUAUUUUGGCUGUUUUGCUGUCAGCAGUGAGGGGCUCAGUGGAGGCCUCACUCUCUUUUGGUCGCAUGCCGUGACAGUGACGGUUAGGUCUGCCAACAAGAGGUGUAUUGAUGUCAAGGUCCAGCUGGAUGAGAGUCUGCCCUGGUGGGCCUCUUUUGUCUAUGGAGAACCAAGGAGAGAGGAUAGAUCUCAUUUUUGGGAGCUCCUUCGACGCAUGCAACCUUCCUAG